GUGUUUUUGUGUUUUUAAGAUAAGGGUUUCACUGUUGUAAUCUAGGAAAAAAGCUGCUGUACAACAGUGAAGUCUUUUUUUUUUUUUUUGCAUGAGGAGGAGAAAAAAGCGACCUUACCCUUCCCUCUCCCAUAUGCUUCAACUUUCAUGUCUGUUUUGCCCUGUAUUUCAUUAACAUUAUGAUUAAUGAAAGCUCUCCUGAAUUUCAAAUACCUUGAAAAGUAGCCAGUGCCUGCUCUUCCGAGGCCACGUUGAAGAUAAAUAACAAUAAAAACAGGGUGAUCCAGGCUUUUGAAGUCUUUAAAGACAACCGUCACUGUGAUCUUUGUACCACUUUUGCAGAAAGGAGAACAUUUCACAUUUCUGGCGCUACUAAGGACAGCACAGCAACUGAAAGAAAGCGUGAAUUUCUGGGAGCAGCAUCAGGACACAGGACUCCUGCUGAGCUCACCAGCUCCUUGCUUCGCACAGCUGCCUUCUCAGCUGGGGGUUUCAAAUCAGCACUGUGAGGAAAGACAGAAAUGACCAUGGUGCAUUUGCCUCACUAUAAGAAAAAGAGUAACAUGCAGUCCAUGAACUGGAGAGCUGACCUGAUACUUAAAAAUGAGGGUUUCUUGCUUUCUCUGAAGCAACAUAGCAUCUCUGGGUGGUAUUCGAGGAUAAAGCAAACAGAGAUGCCUUUUCUUUACAUGCUGGAAACAGUCAUCCCUGUUGCCAAGGAAACAUCUUCAGGCGGCAAGGGUCACCUUUGGAAUCAAACGGAAGACUUCAAAAGCAGAGCAAUAGGAAACACCAAGACCUGA
rnacentral:lncRNA from 1 species